UAAUGGAAAUUGAAAUAUUGAACUUGAUAUAUAGACUAUUUAUAUUUUGAGAUAUUUGUCUUUACUUUGAAAAAAAUCAUGUGAAAUGCCCAUACUAACUUCCCCACAUGCACCCUCAACCACACACAUGCUAAAGUUUUGGUUGUGUGAGUGUAUGUGGUUAAGUCAGGGAGAACUGUGAAUCGUGGCUUUGAUACUUAGCAGCUUAGUGUAAUUUAAUAUUUCUUAGAGAUUCUGCUUUGCUUUCUCUGUAAAAUGGGGAUAAAAGAUGUUUUUCUUAUAAGUUUGAGAUGAAGAUUAAAUAAAAUCAUGUAUGUCUACAAUUUGGCACAUUGCAAAAUGUCAGUAAUAUGGUCUAUACUAUCAGCCAGUUUCUUCUAGUCUGGGGGUUGACAAGUUACAACCACUGGGUCUCCUGCAUUUUUGUGAAUAAAAUUUAUUGAAAUAUAGUCAUGCCCAUUUGUCUGUGUGU
rnacentral:lncRNA from 1 species